CCUACGGGAGGCAGCAGUGAGGAAUAUUGGUCAAUGGGCGCGAGCCUGAACCAGCCAAGUAGCGUGAAGGAUGACUGCCCUACGGGUUGUAAACUUCUUUUAUAAAGGAAUAAAGUGAGGCACGUGUGCCUUUUUGUAUGUACUUUAUGAAUAAGGAUCGGCUAACUCCGUGCCAGCAGCCGCGGUAAUACGGAGGAUGCGAGCGUUAUCCGGAUUUAUUGGGUUUAAAGGGUGCGUAGGCGGGUUAUCAAGUCAGCGGUAAAAUCGUGGAGCUCAACUCCAUCCAGCCGUUGAAACUGAUGAUCUUGAGUGGGCGAGAAGUAUGCGGAAUGCGUGGUGUAGCGGUGAAAUGCAUAGAUAUCACGCAGAACUCCGAUUGCGAAGGCAGCAUACCGGCGCCCGACUGACGCUGAAGCACGAAAGCGUGGGUAUCGAACAGGAUUAGAUACCCCUGUAGUC
rnacentral:rRNA from 1 species